GGCUUACACAUGCGAGUCGAACGGUAACAUGAGUGCUUGCACUUGAUGACGAGUGGCGGACGGGUGAGUAAAGUAUGGGGAUCUGCCGAAUGGAAGGGGACAACAGUUGGAAACGACUGCUAAUACCGUAUAAAGUCGUAAGACCAAAGCAUGGGACUUUCGGGCCAUGCGCCAUUUGAUGAACCCAUAUGGGAUUAGCUAGUAGGUGGGGUAAAGGCUCACCUAGGCGACGAUCUCUAGCUGGUCUGAGAGGAUGACCAGCCACACUGGAACUGAGACACGGUCCAGACUCCUACGGGAGGCAGCAGUGGGGAAUAUUGCACAAUGGGGGGAACCCUGAUGCAGCCAUGCCGCGUGUAUGAAGAAGGCCUUCGGGUUGUAAAGUACUUUCGGUGAUGAGGAAGGUGAUGUAUCUAAUAGGUGCAUUAAUUGACGUUAAUCACAGAAGAAGCACCGGCUAACUCCGUGCCAGCAGCCGCGGUAAUACGGAGGGUGCGAGCGUUAAUCGGAAUGACUGGGCGUAAAGGGCAUGUAGGCGGAUAAUUAAGUUAGGUGUGAAAGCCCUGGGCUCAACCUAGGAAUUGCACUUAAAACUGGUUAACUAGAGUAUUGUAGAGGAAGGUAGAAUUCCACGUGUAGCGGUGAAAUGCGUAGAGAUGUGGAGGAAUACCGGUGGCGAAGGCGGCCUUCUGGACAGAUACUGACGCUGAGAUGCGAAAGCGUGGGGAGCAAACAGGAUUAGAUACCCUGGUAGUCCACGCUGUAAACGAUGUCGAUUUGGAGUUUGUUGCCUAGAGUGAUGGGCUCCGAAGCUAACGCGAUAAAUCGACCGCCUGGGGAGUACGGCCGCAAGGUUAAAACUCAAAUGAAUUGACGGGGGCCCGCACAAGCGGUGGAGCAUGUGGUUUAAUUCGAUGCAACGCGAAGAACCUUACCUGGUCUUGACAUCCCAGAAUCUUGUAAAAUACGAAAGUGCCUUCGGG
rnacentral:rRNA from 1 species